rnacentral:tRNA from 1 species
GCCGAGGUGGCGGAAUAGGCAGACGCGCUAGGUUGAGGGCCUAGUCCCCGAUUGAGGGGGUAAGGGUUCAAAUCCCUUCCUCGGCA